rnacentral:tRNA from 8 species
CGGGGUGUAGCUCAGUCGGUAGAGCGCUCGGUUCGGGACCGAGAGGCCGUGGGUUCGAGUCCCGCCACCCAGACCA